UUAAAUAGACAUUGAAUUGUAAGAAAACAAAAAACUUCCUAUCCAAUUUUCACCCUCUAUAUAUUAUGUAUGUGUAUACACCACUUUAUUAUUCCUCACUAACAUAGUUAUUCAAUUAUUCCCAAGAAAAAAAAUGGAUUCACCUCUUGUACCUCAAGAGAUAAGUUAUGUGGAACAUGUUCACAAACGCCAUGAAGAAAAAGGCUGUCUUUAUGCUUGUUUAUUUGCCUUAUGUUGCUGCUUUUGUUGCUAUGAGACAUGUGAAUGUUGCUUGGAUUGUGGCAUGUUGCUGUUGCUCCUAGAAGGAUACAAAUUCGAUUCUAUGCUUAUCAAAUGGAGCCCUCUCUUGGUCCAGGUGCAAUAGUUUCUGUAAAUUUAACUUUAUUUUAUGUGGUUAGUUUAUACCACUCAUUUUUUUUUAGUGGGUGCAAGUUGAUAAGUUAUUUUACUUUGAAAAAACUAUGACGAUUCACAUGACGAUUAACCAUCACAUACUUGAUGUUAAGCCAAUGUUUUUCCUCUGCGACCAAACAUCGCUGGAAGAAACACAUUCAAAGAAAUUAGUGACGAACAUAUUCAUAACAUGACACUCUUCAACAUAUAAUCGAAUAUUACUAUGUAGCGUUUUCAUCAAAGUUUAAUACUGUAAUAAAUUAGAGAAACAAAAUGAAACUACACGAAAUUCUUCCCAAUCAUAGGGAGAUUUUGACAAAACUUUAAUCUCUUUUUCUUUUUCUUCAAGCUCUUGAAAACUAUUCCCGCCCCCGCUACUUUCACCGUAACAAUGUAGAGUUGUGUUUGAUUAGAGUGAUUUUGAGGUGAAAUGAGAUUUUCUAAAAUAUUCCGAACCAUGUUAGUUUGCUUUGAUUCAUACAAAUUUAGUCACAAAUAUAUACUUGAAAUACUAAAGAAAAUAGGAAAAAAAUAACAUGUGUUGUAAGAAUAUCUCAAUAAUACUAAUUUUGUAUUACACCAAGAUCUUUGAGCUGUAGAACAAAGAACAAAAGAAACUAACUAAAUGAUCUCAAAUAAUAAUAAAUAAAAUGUGAAAAAAUAAGAAGAUAUUUACUCAAUUCAAUCAAAUUGUAACAA